UAGUACGAUUGUCCACUCGUUUUACAUUUGUGUGUAUGGAUGUGGUGAUAACCCUUUUGUGCUUAUCUAUAGGUAGUUAGGUAUGUACCUAUGUACUCAUAAAUGUACCGACCAAACACAAAACGUAUUGAUGUAUACAUUCAGUUAAAAAGUUGCCAGCUAGUCGUUAUUAAGUACAUACUUAGUAUUUUUAUUCAAAAAAAAACCAAACGAGUUGACGAAAAUCGGUAUUCAACUGAAUACGAUGUCCAAGUUUUUGACAGUAGCUGUAAUGGCGGUUUGUAUGCUGAGCUGCUUGCUUUUGGAGUUUUUGGAGCAAGUUAGCGCCGCUCCGAAUGAGAUACCGCACAGACGAGUAGGUCAAUAACGAAAUUUUGGCAAUAGCACUCCUGAUUCAUACCUAUUAUGCUUUAUUACUAUUUAAUGCAGUUAAAACGUUGAGUUUCGAGCACGAACAGGAAAUCAAACUCUGAAGAUGGACACACGCACGAAGAAAAAAAAAUGUAUCUAUCUCAGUACCUAAGUAGUAGAAAUUCAAAUAAAUAAUUUUCAUUCUUUUUAUUAAAAAAAUAUAUAGGUACGUUACACACAAUAAGUGCCUUUACGUACCUACUUAUCUGUAUUUAUACACAAUACUACAUACUUAAUCAUAACAUAAUAUUAUGCAAAAUGUGCCUCUUUGGCAAAUUAUAUGAAUCAGAAUAAAUCAUUGCCUACUCGUAUUAA